AUUGAACGCUGGCGGCAGGCUUAACACAUGCAAGUCGAGCGAGCGGCGGACGGGUGCGUAAUGUCUGGGAAACUGCCUGCUGGAGGGGGAUAACUACUGGAAACGGUAGCUAAUACCGCAUACCAUCAGAUGUGCCCAGAUGGGAUUAGCUAGUAGGUGGGGUAAUGGCUCACCUAGGCGACGAUCCCUAGCUGGUAUGAGCGGAUGACCACACACGCUGGACCUGAGACACGGGCCAGACCCCUAAGGGAGGCAGCAGGGGGGAAUAUGGUACAAUGGGCGCAAGCCUGAUGCAGCCAUGCCGCGUGUGUGAAGAAGGCCUGCGGGUUGUAAAGCACUUUCAGCGAGGAGGCGUUACUCGCAGAAGAAGCACCGGCUAACUCCGUGCCAGCAGCCGCGGUAAUAC
rnacentral:rRNA from 1 species